GUGAAGCCAAGAAAACGCUGUAUAGAGCGAAGACCCAUAGGUCAAGGCCAAUGUAGUACAGCAGAAAGUUUAUCGGGGUCCAUAGAGAAUCCAGCAUCAGAAAUAACAUAGCCAAGAAUGUGACCUGUUUGCAGUUCACAUUUCUCCAAUUUAGAGAGCAGAUUAUUUUCUCUGAGUCUCUGUAGAACACGAGAAAUGUCUGCGUGAUGGUUUUCAAGAGAUGUGGAAUGGAUAAAAAUAUCGUCAAGAUAAACCACCACACAUUGCUGCAGCAUAUCUCGCAGGACAUCAUUUAUAAAUUCC